rnacentral:autocatalytically_spliced_intron from 1 species
AGGAGCCGUAUGCGGUAGUGCCGCACGUACGGAUCUGUGCGGAGGGCGGGGAGCAAUCUCCGUCCCUACCGCGAC